AACAACCAUUGCAAAUUUGCAAUAUUGCAUAGUGCCGUGACUGCCGUCACCUAGGGCUUUCACAGCACUAACACUCCCAAGUCCCAAGUCCCAAGUCCCAAGUCCCAAUUCCCAAAUCGAAGCUGCUCUCUGCCUCUCCGGCCUCUGCCAGUCCGCCGCGCUCUACGUCUCCUGUCGGCUGUGUCCUGCCGUGCUGGUUCAUCGCUGCCGAGUGUCGAAGACGAAGCACCAAGAUCUCACUAGUUCAUCGCUGGUUCAUCACUGCUUAUCUCUGGCUCACUUAGGUUUUAGGUUUCUGAAAAUGCUUGAGGAUUUAAUGAUAAAAAUCUAUUCUGGUGCUUGUAAUGGGGCCUGGAGUUCAAUCUGACCCAUAUCUUGGCCGGCAAACCGGAUUGCAACUGAGCUGAGAUGGGUUGGUUCUAUUUGUCUAAAUUCACAUAUGCAACUGGAAUUUUGUAGCCAUGGUGGUACUGGCUCUACAUUUUGCCUCUUCUUAUUACAAGAUCUGAGCCUGGUUAAACCGUGCAUACGAUGGUUUAUUACCUUGUCUAAACUCUUUAGUAUAUAGUUUGUCUAUUGGAUUUGUAGUUAUACUGGAUAUGCUUGAUUUACUUUCAAGGUCGCAUUUUCUUUCAGUAAUCUUGACCUAAAGUGGGAAAGAGACCCUGCUUUUGAAUGAAUAAUUCUGAACUUGCUCAUGAACAUCCAGACAUUGAUUCUGGUGGUCAUACAUACUUGUUUAGCAGAUCUUCUGCUGAAAGCCUUCAAAAGACCCUUCCAGUUGAUUACCUACCUCGAGGAGUUAGUCUUUUUCUGGUGUGCCAGUAUCAACCAACAUGGUUUUACCAGCUUAGCAAAAGGGUGCCCGUAAGUAAAAAGAAGAAAGAGCUUCUCUUGAGGCCUUAAGAGUUUUCUACAUUUUUCUCAAUCUUUCUCUUUCUGUUAUCGUCCUUAGACCAGUGAAAGUUGAGUUCUGUUGAUGAGCAUGUACCACACAUGUAAUUGUGUGGUUGAAUUCUUUCUUUGCUAUACUCUUGGCUGGAAGCAUCAUCUAUUUCUACUUGAGGUCAUUGAAAAUUUGGAAUGUUGAUUGUUCUGUCUUGUUAAAUGUUUGAUGAAUUAUGGUUCUUUGCUGAUAAUCAUGGCAAUGGUCGCCUAACAAGGAAAAUAAAGAAGAAAAAUUAAUCUUGGUAGUGUCAAUUUUCCCAAGGGUUGAGCUAUGUAUCUUAAGCAACCAACUUUGUGUUAAGCAAUGCAUAUUUCAUCUCAUUUAGUACUUCAAAUUGUAGAUGAGGGCCUAAAGGUCCUCAUAACUCUAUUAUUAAUCACAAACUAUUUUUUAUGCAUGUAGGAAUUCCGAGUAAUAGUUGGCUUUUAUUGAAAACAUGCCUUAGCUAGGAUCGAUAAAUCUUAAGAUAUUUUGUGCCUAUCAAUGGAAAACAAUCCUUCUGAAAAAAGAGAAAAUGAAAAAGAAAUUGCACAUUUUGGAACUUAUUACACUCAUGAGCCGGGAUGAUUUCUAAAGUAAAACCUCCUUUGUGAUUUUAUUGUUAUGGAAGUCUUGUAAACUCCCCUCUAAAUGGGGUUUAAUUAGAAAGAGAUUUAGCCUUAUAUUUGUUUAAGUUGAAGUUUAGAUACAUUAUUGGAGGAGUUUUGCUUUUUCCAUGCUAGUUAAGAAUCAGAUGGACCUUUACGUGAAUGAGAAUUUUAACCAAGUCCACUGUUGUGAUGAUUGAUUUUAUUUAAAUUUAGGCUUUAAAUCACAUUAUUGUGGGAACGUCUGGGUUUUCCAUUCUAGUUAAUAAUCAGAUGGAUCUUUACAUUGGGAGAAUUUAAACCACCAGUUCACUGUUUUGGCAAUUUAGGGGACAAAAGCUUGCUAAAAGUUUGUUUUGAGCUCCAUUGAUUUUCAAAUUCCACAUUUAUGCAGGGUUAACGGAAUUGAAUUUGCUUUCAGUCAUGCAUUAUCUGACAAUUAAUUUCAUUUUGGUAGAGAAGUAAUAUGGACUGUGUUUUGCUAAAUGUUUGGUACGUGGAAAAUGUGUGUAGCUGUGAAUUAUACCUUGGUCCUUCAGUUGAGUUUAUUGGAUUAAAAGUUGCAGUUAGUGACAGUUAGCUGUCAGACAUCAUUGGAUCUGCACGAGCAAUCGUUUUGCACUUGUAGGAUUUUAAAAUAGUUUUAUAGUUGGAGGAUGUUGAGCGAAAUUAUGUGUUUUACAUGUCCUGCCUGCUGCUCUAAUGUUGGUUUGAAUGGAUACACUUGAUUUGAAUAUCAUGGGUGAGUUUUAUUACUCUUUCAAGCUGCUUUUGGGAUGCGUUUGAAACAGAUUCCUUACAGGAUCUUAUAGCAUCUACCAGGUAUAAGAAGCGAGGGCAAUACAAUUCAGCUUCGGUUAAAUCCAGGAUUUGCAGCAUUUACAUUUUCAUGAUGGAUCAUCAAUGUAUACGUCAUUCAUAGCAUGUUCACUGUGGUACAAAAGGAUAUGAUUGUAGUAGCCAGAGGGUAAUGAGUAGAUUUCUGAUUACUUUUGUGGCGUAUUUUCUUGCUGAAGCAGCCCUUCCAAUGUGAGAGCCUCUUUUGUUGCUGCCGUAUGUAUGUUCGUUCAGGUUUUGUUUUUAAGAUGCAGAAGAGUGUAUCGACUACUGCUCAUAGGGGGAAUAGAGACGUGACAAUGUUGUGCAUUGCUGAGGCAAGAUGAAGGAAGUCAUUUUUUGUAAGCUGAGGACUGACUGACUCCAUCCCUCUGAAGGAUGUACCAUUUAUCUCAUUUCAAACCAGGCUUCAACACGAAGUGCAUUUUGUAAAUCCCAAGUUUAUUUGUUCGUUUUCCAUAUAUCAUGGUUCAUGGAGAUUAACCAAUCAGGAGUUUGUAUACUGGAAAAAAGGCUAGGUUUGUGGGGCAAUCAGUGUCUGGUUUUCACUCUUCAGUCUACUUAACAUUUGGUUGCUAUUGCAUUGAAUAUGGCUCUGAAGUUACCAUUGCAAUGGACAGUGGUAAAAUGUGAAGUUACUAUUGCAUCA